GUGCUCACUUGAGCAGCCCAUAUACUAAAAUUGGAAUGAUACAGAGUUUAGCAUGGCCCUUGUGCAAGGAUGAUAUGCAAAUUGGUGGUGUUCCAUAAUUUUUG